rnacentral:misc_RNA from 1 species
GAUGAAGAACGUAGCGAAAUGCGAUAAGUAAUGUGAAUUGCAGAAUUCAGUGAAUCAUCGAAUCUUUGAACGCACAUUGCGCCUGCCAGUAUUCUGGCGGGCAUGCCUGUUCGAGCGUCAUUUCAACCAUCAAGCCCCCGGCUUGUGUUGGGGACCUGCGGCUGCCGCAGGCCCUGAAAUGCAGUGGCGGGCUCGCUGUCACUCCGAGCGUAGUAGUUACAUCUCGCUCUGGGCGUGCUGCGGGUUCCGGCCGUUAAAAGCCUUAUUUACCCAAGGUUGACCUCGGAUCAGGUAGGAAGACCCGCUGAACUUAAGCAUAUCAAUAAGCGGAGGA